rnacentral:rRNA from 1 species
GACGAACGCUGGCGGCGUGCCUAAUACAUGCAAGUAGAACGCACAGUUUAUACCGUAGCUUGCUACACCAUAGACUGUGAGUUGCGAACGGGUGAGUAACGCGUAGGUAACCUGCCUGGUAGCGGGGGAUAACUAUUGGAAACGAUAGCUAAUACCGCAUAAUAUUAAUUAUUGCAUGAUAAUUAAUUGAAAGGUGCAAUUGCACCACUACCAGAUGGACCUGCGUUGUAUUAGCUAGUAGGUGAGGUAACGGCUCACCUAGGCGACGAUACAUAGCCGACCUGAGAGGGUGGUCGGCCACACUGGGACUGUGACACGGCCCAGACUCCUACGGGAGGCAGCAGUAGUGCAUCUUCGGCAAUGGACGAAAGUCUGACCGAGCAACGCCGCGUGAGUGAAGAAGGUUUUCGGAUCGUAAAGCUCUGUUGUAAGAGAAGAACGGGUGUGAGAGUGGAAAGUUCACACUGUGACGGUAUCUUACCAGAAAGGGACGGCUAACUACGUG